AAAAAAGGUAAGCUACUAAGAGCGAAUGGUGGAUGCCUUGACUGGUAAAGGCGAUGAAGGACGUACUAGACUGCGAUAAGCUACGGGGAGCUGUCAAGAAGCUUUGAUCCGUAGAUUUCCGAAUGGGGCAACCCAAUGUAUAGAGAUAUACAUUACCUAUAUAGGAGCGAACGAGGGGAAUUGAAACAUCUUAGUACCCUCAGGAAAAGAAAUCAAUAGAGAUUGCGUCAGUAGCGGCGAGCGAAAGCGCAA
rnacentral:rRNA from 1 species